rnacentral:rRNA from 1 species
GACGAACGCUGGCGGCGUGCUUAACACAUGCCAGUCGAACGGUGAAGCGCCUUCCUUUUUGGUGGGUGUGGAUGAGUGGCGAACGGGUGAGUAACACGUGAGUAACCUGCCCCCUUCUUCUGGAUAACCGCAUGAAAGUGUGGCUAAUACGGGAUAUUCUGGGUCUGUCGCAUGAUGGGUCUGGGAAAGAUAUUGUUUCGGUGGGGGAUGGGCUCGCGGCCUAUCAGCUUGUUGGUGGGGUGAUGGCCUACCAAGGCGGUGACGGGUAGCCGGCCUGAGAGGGUGGACGGUCACACUGGGACUGAGGCACGGCCCAGACUCCUACGGGAGGCAGCAGUGGGGAAUAGUGCACAAUGGGCGCAAGCCUGAUGCAGCGACGCCGCGUGAGGGAUGGAGGCCUUCGGGUUGUGAACCUCUUUCGCCAGUGAAGCAGGCCUGCCUCGUUUGUGGGUGGGUUGACGGUAGCUGGAGAAGAAGCGCCGGCUAACUACGUG